ACUGUUUGAAAUCAUGGUAGGGCAAAAUUCAGUAUAUAGGAAUUGGCUUCUUUUCAAAUAAUGAGUUGGAAUUUGAAUUGAACUGGCCACACCCUACAGGAAUAAUAGGAAGAUUUAUUCCCUGAUAUAUAUAGAACAUAGAUAACAUAACAAAUGUUUAAACAGAGAAAUUUUACACUUUUAUCAACUAAAUGAGCUCAUUUCAAAUUUGAUACCUGCUACAGGUCUCAAAAAAGUUGGUAUGGGGCAACAAUUGGCUGAAAAAGCAAGAAAUUUUGAAAAGAUUCAGCUGGGAGAACAUCUAGCAACUAAUUAAGUUAAUUGAUAUCAGGUCUGUAACAUGAUUAGCUAUAAAAGGGAUGUCUCUCAGAAGUAAAGAUGGGCAGAGCUGUGAAAGAGUGCGUAAAAAGAUUGUGGAAAACAAUGUUCCUCAACAUCAAAUUGCAAAGGCUUUGCAAAUCUCAUCAUCUAUAGUGCAUAACAUCAUCGAAAGAUUCAGAGAAACUGGAGAAAUCUCUGUGCAUAAAGGACAAGGCCGAAGACCUUUAUUGGAUGCCUGUGGUCUUCGGGCCUUCAGACGACACUGUAUCACUCAUCGGCAUGACUGUGUCAAUGACAUUACUAAAUGGGCCCAGGAAUACUUCCAGAAACCACUGUUGGUAAACACAAUCCGCUGUGCCAUCUUCAGAUGCCAACUAAAGCUCUAUCAUGCAAAAAGGAAGCCAUAUGUGAACAUGGUCCAGAAGCGCCGUCGUGUCCUGUGGAAAAAGUGGAAAAGUAUUCUAUGGACAGACGAGUCCAAAUUUGACAUUCUUGUGGGAAAUCACGGAUACCGUGUCCUCCGGGCUAAAGAGGAGGGAGACCUUCCAGCGUUUUAACAGCGUUCAGUUCAAAAGCCAGCAUUCUCUGAUGGUAUGGGGGUGCAUAAGUGCAUACAGUAUGGGCAGCUUGCAUGUUUUGGAAGGCACUAUGAAUGCUGAAAGGUAUAUAAAGGUUUCCAGACAACGUCUAUUUCAGGGAAGGCCUUGUGUAUUUCAGCAGGACAAUGCAAAACCACAUACUGCAGCUGUUACAACAGCAUGGCUUCGUCGUAGAAGAGUCCGGGUACUGAACUGGCCUGCCUGCAGUCCAGAUCUUUCACCUAUAGAGAACAUUUGGUGCAUCAUUAAACGAAAAAUACGUCAAAGACGACCAUGAACUCUUCAGCAGCUAGAAACCUAUAUCAGGUAAGAAUGGGACCAAAUUCCAACACCAAAACUCGUAAUCUCGAUGCCCAGACAUCUUCAAAAUGUUUUGAAAAGAAGAGGAGAUGCUACACCAUAGUAAACAUUUUGAGACGUAUAGCAGGCAUCAUCAUUAUUUGAAAUGAGCUCAUUUUGUGCAUAAAAUUGUAAAAUUUCUCAGUAUAAACAUUUGUUAUAUUAUCUAUGUUCUAUUGUGAAUAAAAUAUUGGCUCAUGUGAUUUGAAAGUCUUUUAGUUUUCAUUUUAUUCAAAUUUAAAUAACGUCCCAACUUUUCCGGAAUUGGGGUUGUAAUAACAACAGUUCUGUAACUGAAAUUUCAAUAGUCAUUCUCAAAUCAGCUCUGCUUAAAAUACAGUUGACAUGCUGCCAUCAACUAUUUUGAUAAAAGAGCUUCUCUUUUCAUUUCUUAACACUGUAGCAGAUGAAUUCUGAUUAAGAGGCACUUAGCCUUUGUGUUUAAGUGCAGUAAGACCUCCACUUACUCAGAAGUUUCUGGGACCUUUCCGGUGAUAAAAUGAGGGAAGCCAUUAUGACUCAACUGUCUUUUUAAAAUGACUUUAUUCUCAAGAGCACUUUUGACUUCAGAGUAUGUUAUUUACCUCAUGCCACAGCAGGCUAAAGGGCAAGUGGGAGAUUAUUGAUGAGUACUCAGGUAAAGAAUAAGCUGCAUGUGUAUUAAGUACCAUCUAUUACCAGAGAAGAGGGUAGGCUGACCUUAUUAUUGAGUGAGUGUUGAGAUUCUCUUAAGGCCAGGCUUGCAAGCUGAUUCUGUUUCAUAAGGGUUAAAGACUCAUAAAGCCUCAUUGUCCAUUACUGUGUUAUUGCUCAUUAAAGGGAUAGUUCACCCCAAAAAUGAGAAUUCUGUUAUCAUUUACUAAUCCUCAAGCAGUUCCAAACCUGUAUGAAUUUCAUUCUUCCGCUGAACACAAAAGAAGAUAUUUUGAAGAAUAUGGGUAACCAAACAGGAUCUCACUUACUUCCAUAGUAUGGAGAAAAAAAUACUAUGGAAGUCAAUGGGUCCCAUCCAAUGUUUAGUUCCCAAAAUUCUUCAAAAUAUCUUCUAUUGUGUAGAAGAGAGAAAUUCAUACAGGUUUGGAACAACUUGAAUUUUAAUUUUGGGGUGAACUAUCCCUUUAAGAUUGCAUUGCUCUCAUAAGAAUGGAUGUGUAUUCCAAGCAUAAUUGUAGAUAGAUUAUAUAGAUUUAAAAGCUUAAAGGACAGAUUUUUGAGGGGUUGUCAGAUUGUACAAUAGGAUCCUGGGGAGAUCUUGGGUAAGAGCCAAGGCAGAAUGUGUGACAUCAAUUGUACAUUGUACAUUGUAUACAUUUUAGCAGUAUAUAGAACGUUCAUUCCUCAGGAGCUAAUUUGAGGUCAUUUUGAUUGUGCGAUCGUAACAUGAUAGGAGGAUCUUUAUAUUGAAUAUUAUAUUGCAUCAUACAAGCGUAUUCAACAAUGUUACUGAUCUGACUGUACUGACCCUGUUGUAUGAGAAAGGAACUGAGCUAGACGAUGAUAUCAUUUUUGCAGAACUGCUUUAUAGAUGAAAUGAACUAAUUUAAUAAUUGAUGAUCUUUGCAAUGGAACUGAAUCAACACUGAACUGAUUUCAGCUGAACAAAAGCAGAAAUGCAUAAUUUUCCUGUUAUCACUGUAAAGCUGCUUUGAAACAUUCUGUAUUGUAUAAAGCGCUAUAUAAAUAAAGGUGACUUGACUUGACUAUUCUUUCUCUCACUCUUACUGGUUCAUUAUUAGAUGGCCGUCAUAUGUGUGGCCAGAUUCAGAGCCUAAAGAGGCAAGUAAAUGUUUAAUUAUGUCUGAUUUAUUAGAAAAGAUUUUCAUCUUGUAGUCUAAUAUGAAAAUAGAAGCUUUUUUGCAUUGAUUUAUUUUUAAAGAGAUACUUCACCCAAAAAGGAAAAUUCUGUCAUCAUUUACUCUCAUGUUGAUCCAACAUGUUCUGUUUAGUUGUUCAUGUCUAGAGUUUGUUUUCCAUUAGUCACAUGUUCUCCUUUGUUCAGUGUUUCUGGCCACUCGUUUGUAUCUUUGGUAACUGAUUUGAUUAGUGUUUGAGUUCAGGUGUGUCUUGUUAGUUUGCUCCUCAGUUCUGUGUAUUUAAGCCCUGUGUUUGUUCAGUUCAGUUGUCAGUUCUCUGUUACGCAUAUGUUGUUGUUCCGUUCCUGCACCCUGAGUUUCUGUUUUGGAUUCUGUUAGAAUAAAAGUACUGCUGUGUUUAGAUCCUGCUUCCUACUUUGAUUUCAACUGUGUGUGACAGAAGAACUGACCCUAUUAUGGAUCUAGCAGCAGUGGAAAUUCUCCUCCUCUCCUAAGGGGAUCUGUCCCUCGAGGCCCACACACAGAGGCAGGUCUCAAUGCUGAGACCAGAGCAUGCCCGGAGAUGGGCCUUGGGGAAGCUUCCAGAGUUAUGUAGAGUGGGUGCUUGUCCACAAUGGAUCCCCCUUGACCAUCGUGGAGAGUGAGGAGAAAACCAGCGUGCAUGCCCCUGACCGUCGUCCAAUGAUGGCUCCAGCCCCUGACCAUCGUCCAAUGACGGCUCCAGCCCCUGACCACAGUCCAGUGAUGGCUCCAGUCCCUUACCACAGUCCAGUGAUGGCCCCGUUCCCUUCCAGAGAGGGCUGCCGUUCCCAUCCCGAGUCCAGAGAGGACACCAGCCAAAAAGCCUGUUCCAGAGUCCGCUACAGCCCAGGAGCCCAUCCAAGUGUCUGUUCCAGCCCAAGAAUACGCACCAGCCCAUAAACCCUUAGAUCCUCCCAAGAAAAUUUUGGGGGGGGGUGCAGCAAGUCCUCUGCCGUAGUGGCCAUGAAAGGCCCCCGGGUGAAGGCCACGGAGGCAGCGCUGCCAUGGCCCACUGAGCUGCCUGAUCUGCCAUGGCCCCCCUGAGUUGUGUUGUGUUCUGUUUAGUGAUUCAUGUCUAGAGUUUGUUUCCGUUAGUCACAUGUUCUCCUUGGUUCAGUGUUUCCCACCACUUGUUUGUAUCCUUGGUAACUGAUUUGAUUAGUGUUUGAGUUCAGGUGUGUCUUGUUAGUUUGCUCCUCAGUUCUGUGUAUUUAAGCCUUGUGUUUGUUCAGUUGUCAGUUCUGUUAUGCAUAUGUUGUCAUUCCGUUUCUGCACCCUGAGUUUCUGUUUUGGAUUCUGUUAGAAUAAAAGUACUGCUGUGUUUA